UACGUAGGGUGCAAGCGUUAAUCGGAAUUACUGGGCGUAAAGCGUGCGCAGGCGGUUUUGUAAGUCUGGCGUGAAAUCCCCGGGUUCAACCUGGGAAUUGCGAUGGAGACUGCAAGGCUAGAAUCUGGCAGAGGGGGGUAGAAUUCCACGUGUAGCAGUGAAAUGCGUAGAGAUGUGGAGGAACACCGAUGGCGAAGGCAGCCCCCUGGGUCAAGAUUGACGCUCAUGCACGAAAGCGUGGGGAGCAAACAGG
rnacentral:rRNA from 1 species